rnacentral:rRNA from 1 species
UACGUAGGGGGCUAGCGUUGUCCGGAUUUAUUGGGCGUAAAGAGCGUGUAGGCGGCCAGGUAGGUCUGCUGUGAAAACUCGAGGCUCAACCUCGAGACGUCGGCGGAAACCAUCUGGCUAGAGUCCGGAAGAGGGUCGCAGAAUUCCCAGUGUAGAGGUGAAAUUCGUAGAUAUCGGGAGGAAUACCAGUGGCGAAGGCGGCGACCUGGGCCAAUACUGACGCUGAGGUGCGAAAGCGUGGGGAGCAAACAGG